rnacentral:misc_RNA from 1 species
AAACCAAUCUAGCUCUGCUAGGUCUUGGGCCUCGCCGUCUGGCGGGCCUUAAAACCAGUGGCGGUACUGCCAGGCUUCUAAGCGUAGUAAAUCUCUCGCUAUAGAGCCCUGGCGGAUGCUGGCCAGCAACCCCCCAUUUUUUCA